rnacentral:rRNA from 1 species
GAUGAACGCUGGCGGCGUGCUUAACACAUGCAAGUCGAACGGAGCAUUUAGAACGGAUUACUUCGGUUUGAAGUUCUUUAUGACUGAGUGGCGGACGGGUGAGUAACGCGUGGGUAACCUGCCUUGUACUGGGGGAUAGCAGCUGGAAACGGCUGGUAAUACCGCAUAAGCGCACAAUGUUGCAUGACAUGGUGUGAAAAACUCCGGUGGUAUAAAAUGGACCCGCGUCUGAUUAGCUAGUUGGUGAGAUAACAGCCCACAUAGGCGACGAUCAGUAGCCGACCUGAGAGGGUGACCGGCCACAUUGGGACUGAGACACGGCCCAGACUCCUACGGGAGGCAGCAGUGGGGAAUAUUGCACAAUGGAGGAAACUCUGAUGCAGCGACGCCACGUGAGUGAAGAAGUAAUUCGUUAUGUAAAGCUCUAUCAGCAGGGAAGAUAGUGACGGUACCUGACUAAGAAGCUCCGGCUAAAUACGUGCCAGCCGCCGCAGUAA